rnacentral:lncRNA from 1 species
UGCAUAGUUACAUAUUGCGAAUACUGCCAAGAGGAGAAGACUCUGCAUGAAACAGUAAAUUUCUCUGGCGUUAAGAGACCUUUCUGUAGUGAAGGCUGCAAGCUGUUAUACAAACAAGAUUUUGCAAGACGAUUAGGAUUAAGAUGUGUUACCUGCAACUAUUGUUCUCAAUUGUGUAAGAAGGGAGCCACUAAAGAGCUGGAUGGAGUUGUCCGAGACUUCUGCAGUGAAGACUGCUGUAAGAAGUUCCAGGAGUGGUACUACAAGGCAAGUCAUUUUUAGAUCAGGGCUGUCAGACGUCCCGAACCAAAAUGACAGGCUCAGCACCACCCCCUUCUCCUACACCAAACAAAGAGAUGAAGAACAAAGCGAUUCUUUGCAAACCUUUAACAAUGACAAAAGCAACUUACUGUAAGCCUCACAUGCAGACCAAGUCUUGUCAGACAGAUGAAAAUUGGAAGACAGAGUAUGUCCCAGUGCCUAUUCCUGUGCCUGUGUAUGUCCCUGUGCCUAUGCACAUGUACAGCCAGAGUAUUCCUGUUCCUACCACAGUCCCUGUCCCUGUGCCCGUUCCUGUGUUUUUGCCUGCUCCAUUGGAGAACAGUGAGAAGAUUCCUGCCUCAGUUGAGGACCUCAAAAGCAAAGUGUCUUCAGAUCCUCUUGAUACAGAAUUGCUUACAAUGACGGAUAUGAUGACUGAAGAGGAGGGGAAAACAGAGGCAUCUA